UAGCAUUCAAACAGGGGCAAAUCAUAACUAAGCAUCAACUCAUGGGUGAUAUAGCAUUAGAUUUUAGAAAGCAGUUAUCUCAUUAAGUAAACAAGAUCAUCAAGAGCAUAACUGCAUAUUGCAUCAAAGUAACCAACCAAAGCACUAUCUCACAAGUAGCAUAAGGUAGUAUAUAGGGCAUACAAGAGAAGCUCAUCUAAUGCAAUAUGAUACAAAUGCAACAUGAUACAGAUGCAAUAAAAGCCAAACAAGAAAAAUGACUAUACAUAUAUGAUACAAGAGAAGCACCAAAACCCAACUUAGAAAGGAAAGCAAACACCCAACUCCC
rnacentral:lncRNA from 1 species